AAUGAAGAUUUUGUGACUGAGUGGCGGACGGGUGAGUAACGCGUGGGUAACCUGCCUCAUACAGGGGGAUAACAGUUGGAAACGACUGCUAAUACCGCAUAAGCGCACAGUACCGCAUGGUACGGUGUGAAAAACUCCGGUGGUGUGAGAUGGACCCGCGUCUGAUUAGCUAGUUGGCAGGGCAGCGGCCUACCAAGGCGACGAUCAGUAGCCGGUCUGAGAGGAUGAACGGCCACACUGGAACUGAGACACGGUCCAGACUCC
rnacentral:rRNA from 1 species